AUUGAACGCUGGCGGCAUGCCUUACACAUGCAAGUCGAACGGUAACGGGCCUUCGGGUGCCGACGAGUGGCGAACGGGUGAGUAAUGUAUCGGAACGUACCUUUCAGUGGGGGAUAACGUAGCGAAAGUUACGCUAAUACCGCAUAUUCUGUGAGCAGGAAAGCAGGGGAUCGCAAGACCUUGCGCUGAUUGAGCGGCCGAUAUCAGAUUAGCUAGUUGGUGAGGUAAAGGCUCACCAAGGCGACGAUCUGUAGCGGGUCUGAGAGGAUGAUCCGCCACACUGGAACUGAGAAACGGUCCAGACUCCUACGGGAGUCAGCAGUGGGGAAUUUUGGACAAUGGGGGCAACCCUGAUCCAGCCAUGCCGCGUGAGUGAAGAAGGCCUUCGGGUUGUAAAGCUCUUUCAGCCGGGAAGAAAUCGUAUCAGCUAAUACCUGGUGCGGAUGACGGUACCGGCAUAAGAAGCACCGGCUAACUACGUGCCAGCCGCCGCCGUAACAC
rnacentral:rRNA from 1 species